GGUAGGCAGUAACCCCCCAUCACACCUCACCUCCUCACUACAACCUGUGAAGUGAUCCCGAAAGCUCUCUCAGUGACUAAUGGUGAUGGGUACCAUCCCCAAAGCACUGAUGGCUCUCCUCUGACAGCCUUGGGAGGAGCCAGGGCAGGGGCUCGUUUUUUCUAAGUUUAUUGUGAUUCCCUCACUUCACAGAGUGAUUCUAUGUAUCCUAGGGUUUGUGGAUAUGAGCCUUUAGUAAUAUAACCUAACAUACACUGGUACAUUCUUCAGAAAAAGUGGAUGACUUCUGGGCAGUGAUCUCUUUGGAAGUUCAAAGUGGCUUAAAUGCAAUUUUGACAAUAAUGACAUGUUAUAGUGCAUUUAUGUUCAGCCACCUCUUUGAUGACUGGAAGUAUUAUAGUAACACUUUUAUAUAUUCCUAAAACUGAAUAAGAAUUUAUCCUCAUCAGACAAGAUAUAUACCAAUAUCUGAAUAGUUUCAGUUUAGAAUGUACCACAUUAAAAUACAAUUUUGUUUUGCUUGAUAUAGUGAUGUCUAAGCUCAAUAUAAGAGAAUGUAUUUACGUCUCAUUUCCUCGCCCAUGCCAAAAGGACACAAAACCUUGGGGGGAAGCAGACCAGACAUUUGAAGGCAUUAAGCAUAUAACCCAUCCUAGUUUGAUUUGCCAUGAGGUGAAGACAGAGAUCUGAUGUCAGAGGAUUCUGCCCCAAGAUGAAGAGUUUGAGAAAACAGUCAAGGUAUGCAGAAUGUGAAGAAACACCUCUUCUGUUCUCACUGCUGCAUAAAUGAAGAUGCAAUUGAAUGGGGUAAUUUUAGUAAAUCCUGGAAGAAUAAAUGAAGGCAAUCAUAGAA